UUUUAUAUUUCAUUUUGAAAAUAUUUAUAAAAAUAAUAUUUCAUUUUUUAUUAAGUUUUUUCUAAAUUAUGUAAUUUUUCCCAAUAACAAAUUGGAAAAGGGAAUAGAAAAUUGUUUAAAUUUGUACCAUUUAUAAUUUACUGGAAAUUUUGAUAACUGGAGAACUCCAUUGGUGAAAUGCUAUAGAUACAUACUACAUAUUUCCGAAAACUCAAGACUCUAAACAUAUUAUAUUUCCCAAACUUGCGGAUAAUUAAGGUUUAACAACACAAAAUCCUUUAUCAAGGACAUUUAAGUUACGCGUGCGCAUCACUUCAUUUCAAUGCAUAUUUCAUUUCAUUGUCUGAGAGUGUGCAACUUUUAAUGAUUAAAUGGCAUUUCCACUUUUUUAUGCAAAUGCCAAAUAAAUUAAAAUAAUGAUGUUUAAAAUAAAAGAAGAGGUGGUGGUUUAAAAAAUUUGCAGUCUGAAUUUAGCACCCCUAAAUAAAGAUUUUUUUAAACUUAAAACGCUGUCCUCCUGGCCACUCGGGAGAGCAAAUGUGCUGACUUUAAAAGGAAGGGAUCUCGAGUUAUUUAACCUGACGAACGCAAAACCAUUCGACGCAACGAGAGUUGAAUUAAAUUAGUGAAACGGUGGGUGACCCUAACGAGAGCAGGACAAGAAGCCUUAUCAAAAUGAUCAAGUCUAAGAUCAAUAAUUUUGUGACGGACUUUAAAAAUUUCAAGAAUUACUUUGUCG